CCAGGUGUUCCGUCACCUGCACCUACCCCAGGCCAUGCGUAGCCGGAAACAGCUAGGUGUGAAGCGCUUGGCACAAUGUACCUCUAGUGAAAACAUAAGGCGCCUCUGCAAAGAGAACUGAAGACUGCAAGCAUCAUGCGGCGAGAGG
rnacentral:ncRNA from 1 species